GAUGAAGAACGCAGCGAAAUGCGAUAAGUAAUGUGAAUUGCAGAAUUCAGUGAAUCAUCGAAUCUUUGAACGCACCUUGCGCCCUUUGGACUUCUGAAGGGCAUGCCUGUUUGAGUAUCAUGAACACCUCAACUCCUUAUGGUCUUCCAUGAUGAGCUUGGACUUUGGGGGUUUUGCUGGCCUACAGUCAGCUCCUCUAAAAUAAAUCAGCUUACCGGUGUUUGGUGGGUAUCAUGGGUGUGAUAGCUAUCUACGCUCGUGGUUUUCCACCAGGUAACCUUCAGCAGUGGAGGUUCACUGGAGCUCAUAGAUGUCUCUCCUCAGCGAGGACAGCCCUUUGAAUGUUUGAUCUCAAAUCAGGUAGGACUACCCGCUGAACUUAAGCAUAUCAAUAAGCGGAGGA
rnacentral:misc_RNA from 1 species